AAAUAAAGUACCUAUACUUGGUCAGGUACUACAAUAGGACGGAUAAAAAGAAGAUUUUGAUGCUUAUUUCAAGUAUUUUGACCAGAGAAAUUAUAUCACAAAUGAGAAAAAAGCCCUGCUUGAUCUGAAUCCCAGUCUUCCCGUGUGCAAGGCCACUGUUUAUGAAAAUCUGGCAGAGAAGUCAUUGAAAAAGUAUGACAAUCAUUCCAAUGUGCAUGGUGCAGGAGCACAUUUAUAACAUGAGAGAGUGUAUGGUGCAGGUAAUAGUUCUUCAUCUAAGAAGAGUGCAAUAUCAUGCAGGUCCAGCUUGCAUCAGUCUGCUUCAUAAGAUUUAAGAUUCAGGAUUCAAUAUUAUUUAAUGUUACUUCCAGUACACAAGUGUAAAGGAGAAUGAAAUAAUUGUUACUCCAGAUCUGAUGCAGCACAAAAAUCACAAUAAGAUAAAGAAUGCAAUAAUAAAAACAUGAUAAAUUCAGAAUAAAUACAUAUCAUAGCUUAUUGACUGCACUGUAUUUCCA